GCCCAGAUGGUGAAAUUUGGUAGACACGCUAGGUUCAGGACCUAGUCUCCGCGAGGACGUGGGGGUUCGAGUCCCCCUCUGGGCA
rnacentral:tRNA from 1 species